GAACAGCCGCCCCGGCAGGAAGUAGCCGGCGUCCAGCACGAUGGGCGGCAGCAGGAACAGGAAGAAGGCGUCGCCGCUCAGGGUGGGCGGGGGCCUGUGGCGGACUCCGUAGAUUGCUCCGCCCACCAUCAGGCCUACCACGAUGAGCAGGCAGCUCUCGGGCAUGACAGAGGGGAGACGACCUGAGCAGUGGAACCCUGGGAAAAAAGUUUCCCUGAGGAGAAGACGUCGGAGAUCGCUUGGACGCAGCUCGGGGAAUAUCACCGGCAGGAGUUGCAGCUGGAUGACGGCAGGUUCCAGAGAUUUUUCCGGCUGGACAGUGUUACAAGAACAAGCUACAAGCCCCAGUGAUAAGAGUGAAACAGAUGAAGUCAUGAUGUCAUCAUGAAGCCAGGCUGAUGGGGGCCUACAAAUCCACAAGUGGGGGAUGGCAACAAACAGCACAGAAGGCACCAUACUCAAAAACAACUGUCAUGGUGUGGAUGAUUUAAAGUUGUACUCCACCUCAGCAAAAGAGGAUGUGCACUAUUACACUGGACUUUUAUAAAAAAAAGUGUUGUGGUGUUAUGGUAGAAGUGUUAUGGUGUCCUCUGGGACCCUAAACAUUUUAGUAAAAUCGUUAGUUGAUCCCCUGGUGCCCUAGUACCAUGAACAAUAAUCUUGUGACAGGCUUGUUGUGGGAAUCGCAAUUAAGGUGUUCAAGAACGCCAAGGGGGAGGGGGAACUUCUCCCCACUCAUUCACUAGUUACAUUGAUAUCAGAGUAAGCCCUUUGUCCAUUGAUGUCCUUUUGAUUGAUGUAUUUCUUUCAGGAUUGUUUAAUGUCUAUGUGAAGCCAUUUAUCAUCACCUGCAAGUGGUUGUUAUCACUUUGAACCCAUGACUGCCUUUUAUUGGUGAGCUGACUUUGAGAAAUCAAACUUGCCAGCAAACGUGUUUCCUGGUUGCUAUGAUUGUCUAGUUGCUAAGUUAGCUAACAAACCUUUUAAAUAACCUUAAAUGGUUUAAAUGCAAGAGUUCUAUUUGCAUGUAAUGAUACCUCGAUUUAACUCAGAUAAUUAUAAUAGGAAAAGGUAGAAACCCGCAGCCUGUGCAGCUUCAUAUUAAUGAGUGCAUAUUCACACAAAUUAACAUGAGUUCAUCACACACUAGCAGCUGCCAACUCUUAACUUGAUUCCCUAAGCUAAAUAUAGCAAGGAUAGUUUAAAAGCUACAAUAGGUAAAAACCCUUUGGUUUCUACACCUGUUACUUGAUCAUUAUGGAAGACUAAAUGUGACUGAGUGUGAACAAAAAUGUGUUAUCUAUCUGAUGUUGUUUUUACCUGAUACAUUAAUAGGAUUCGUAUGUGAAAGAGGGAGGGAGAGAGAUAGACCCAUUCAUGGUUUGCCUGGCAUAUUUAGCAAAAUCAAUGUUUAAACAGUCGGAAAAUUACGGUAUGUUGAAAUUGAGCAUCAGACAUUUAACUUCACAUUUACACAAUACAAUUAUGGUUAGAAAUAUUUGAAAAAUUACCUGGGUAUUUCUAGAAGACUUUUUGGAAGUGAUUCUGAAGUUCUGGAAUUCUCCAAUGUCUGUAUAAUUAAUUCCAAGAUGAGUCUGUAUAUCUACACCCAACCACCAAUACAGCCCAAAACAUCAGAACUAGCUUCACAUCAGAAGUGUGCAAUGGGAGAAAUAUGAACUAUUACCGCAACACAGACUGCCCACUGUUUUUUGUAGAGGUCACAGUUCAAAUCCAUCCCAUAUGGCCGCCGCUCUCGGAACACUAGACAACACUACGGCUCUAGGGGCUCUCAUUUAUGACCCAUGAUUAUGAUGCUUAAAAUCAGUUGAUUGACUUCCUUAAAUGUAAAUAGAAUGAAGAAAAGACAUCUAAAUAAAAAUAUUAAUAUUU